GAUGAAGAACGUAGCGAAAUGCGAUAAGUAAUGUGAAUUGCAGAAUUCAGUGAAUCAUCGAGUCUUUGAACGCACAUUGCGCCCCCUGGUAUUCCGGGGGGCAUGCCUGUCCGAGCGUCAUUGCUGCCCUCAAGCCCGGCUUGUGUGUUGGGCCCUGCUCCCCCGGGGGCAGGCCCGAAAGGCAGUGGCGGCACCGCGUCCGAUCCUCGAGCGUAUGGGGCUUUGUCACCCGCUCUGUAGGCCCGGCCGGCGCUUGCCGACCCCCAUCAAUCUUUUUUCAGGUUGACCUCGGAUCAGGUAGGGAUACCCGCUGAACUUAAGCAUAUCAAUAAGCGGAGGA
rnacentral:misc_RNA from 1 species